rnacentral:misc_RNA from 1 species
AAGAAAGAAAAGAAAAGGAGAGAAAAGAAUAAGGUAAAUUUUAUAUUUAUUAUCAUAAAAUUUAAUUAUGAAUUUUGUAAACCCUUGUGCAAUUGUUUACUCUCACGGAUUAAGUUUGGCACGUCCUAAACUCUAUUGCUGUUCAUAAAUACUAUUUAAUUUAGUUGUUGAACUUGGAGUGGAGAUUAAUGAAGAGGAUAUGAAUUAUAUUAUUUAUUAUAUAUGCCCUUGAGAGAGGCAUUGACUUUUAAAUUGUGUUCAUGUUGUUGCCUUGGGGUGCUUAUUGAAGCAAUUAUUAUUAUUAUUAUUAU